GCAACAGCUCAAAUUUGAAAUCUGGCGUCUUAGGCGUCCGAGUUGUAAUUUGCAGAGGGAGUCUCGGGUUUAGGACCGGCCCAAGUGCCUUGGAACAGGAUACCAAAGAGGGUGAGAGUCCCGUAUCCGGCCGGUACCGACGCCCGUGUGAGACCCCUUCGACGAGUCGAGUUGUUUGGGAAUGCAGCUCUAAAUGGGUGGUAAAUUCCAUCUAAAGCUAAAUACUGGCCAGAGACCGAUAGCGCACAAGUAGAGUGAUCGAAAGAUGAAAAAGCACUUUGAAAAAGAGAGUCAAACAGUACGUGAAAUUGUUGAAAGGGAAGCGUAUGUGGGCAGACUUGACCACGGGAUUCAGCUCGUCUUCUGGCGGGUGUACUUUUCUCGUGGGCAGGCCAGCAUCGGUUUCGGGGGUAAGACAAAGGCGUCGGGAAUGUGGCACUCUUCGGGGUGUGUUAUAGCCCGUCGUGUAAUGUUACCACCUGGGACCGAGGACCGCGUUUUACGAGGAUGCUGGCGUAAUGGCCUCAUACGGCCCGUCUUGAAACACGGACCAAGGAGUCUAACAUCUAUGCGAGUGUUUGGGUGUCAAGCCCGGGCGCGCAAUGAAAGUGAACGGAGGUGGGAGUCUUCGGACGCACCAUCGACCGAUCCCGAUGUCUUCGGAGGGAUUUGAGUACGAGCAUAGCUGUUGGGACCCGAAAGAUGGUGAACUAUGCGUGAAUAGGGUGAAGCCAGAGGAAACUCUGGUGGAGGCUCGCAGCGGUUCUGACGUGCAAAUCGAUCGUCAA
rnacentral:rRNA from 1 species